rnacentral:rRNA from 1 species
AUUGAACGCUGGCGGCAGGCCUAACACAUGCAAGUCGAACGAGUGGCGGACGGGUGAGUAAUGUCUGGGAAACUGCCCGAUGGAGGGGGAUAACUACUGGAAACGGUAGCUAAUACCGCAUACAAUCGCAUGUGCCCAGGUGGGAUUAGCUAGUAGGUGGGGUAAAGGCUCACCUAGGCGACGAUCCCUAGCUGGUCUGAGAGGAUGACCAGCCACACUGGUACUGAGAAACGGUCCAGACUCCUACGGGAGGCAGCAGUGGGGAAUGUUGGACAAUGGGCGAAAGCCUGAUGCAGCCAUGCCGCGUGUAUGAAGAAGGCCUUCGGGUUGUAAAGUACUUUCGGCGGGGAGGCGUUACCCGCAGAAGAAGCACCGGCUAACUCCGUGCCAGCCGCCGCGGUAAUUC